rnacentral:rRNA from 1 species
GUAGGUGACCUGCGGAGGGAUCAUU